UACGGGGGGUGCGAGCGUUGUCCGGAAUCACUGGGCGUAAAGGGCGCGUAGGUGGUCUGAUAAGUGUGUGGUGAAAGCCCGGGGCUCAACCCCGGGUCGGCCGUGCCGACUGUUAGACUAGAGUGCUGUAGGGGCAGGCGGAAUUCCGGGUGUAGCGGUGGAAUGCGUAGAUAUCUGGAGGAAUACCGGUGGCGAAGGCGGCAUCCUGGACCGGCAUUGACGCUGAGGAGCGAAAGCCAGGGGAGCAAACGGG
rnacentral:rRNA from 1 species